AGAGUUUGAUCAUGGCUCAGGACGAACGCUGGCGGCGUGCUUAACACAUGCAAGUCGAACGGGAUGCCUUCGGGUGUCUAGUGGCGAACGGGUGAGUAACACGUGAGCAACCUGCCCCUGGCUCUGGGAUAGCCUCCGGAAACGGGGAUUAAUACCGGACAUGACCCUUCCUCGCAUGAGGGGGGGUGGAAAGUUUUUCGGCUGGGGAGGGGCUCGCGGCCUAUCAGCUUGUUGGGGGGGUGACGGCCCACCAAGGCGACGACGGGUAGCCGGCCUGAGAGGGCGACCGGCCACACUGGGACUGAGACACGGCCCAGACUCCUACGGGAGGCAGCAGUGGGGAAUAUUGCACAAUGGGCGCAAGCCUGAUGCAGCGACGCCGCGUGCGGGAUGAAGGCCUUCGGGUUGUAAACCGCUUUCAGCAGGGGCGAAUUUGGACGGUACCUGCAGAAGAAGCGCCGGCUAACUACGUGCCAGCAGCCGCGGUAAUACGUAGGGCGCGAGCGUUGUCCGGAUUUAUUGGGCGUAAAGAGCUCGUAGGCGGCCUGUUGCGUCCGCUGUGAAAUCCCAGGGCUCAACCCUGGGCGUGCAGUGGAUACGGGCAGGCUGGAGGCAGGCAGGGGAGAACGGAAUUCCCGGUGUAGCGGUGAAAUGCGCAGAUAUCGGGAGGAACACCGGUGGCGAAGGCGGUUCUCUGGGCCUGUGCUGACGCUGAGGAGCGAAAGCGUGGGGAGCGAACAGGAUUAGAUACCCCCGUAGUCC
rnacentral:rRNA from 1 species